UCAUUACAGAUCAAGAUUUACCUUUAGGUUUACCUUUAUUGUACAUAGUGUUGCUAUCUGCUGCUGGAUCUCUGUUGAUUGUAGCUGCAGUCAUAAUGUGUUGCAUCUGCAAGAAACGUAGAAAAACAGUUGAGAUCCAGGAGGAAGACAGAACUGAUUCAGCAUUGCGUAAAC